AUGGAACAGGGGGGGGUGGAAGAGGCAUGUACUGUAAUAGGUAACAGUAAUGGAACAGGGAGUGGUGGAAGAGUUAUGGGUGUAAUAGAUAACAGUAAUGGAACAGGGAGUGGUGGAAGAGUUAUGGGUGUAAUAGGUAACAGUAAUGGAACAGGGAGUGGUGGAAGAGUUAUGGGUGUAAUAGAUAACAUUAAUGGAACAGGGGGUGGUGGAAGAGGCAUGUACUGUGAUAGAUAACAGUAGUGGAACAGGGAGUGGUGGAAGCCUAUGUAAUGUAAUAGAUAACAUUAAUGGAACAGGGGGGGGUGGAAGAGGCAUGUACUGUAAUAGAU
rnacentral:lncRNA from 13 species